ensembl:lncRNA
CUCCUUUUGUACCGAAAGACAGAAAGAAGUGAAGAAGUAGGAAGACUGCAGGAAACAAGCUGCACUGCUAUACCUGUAGGCUUAAGGAACCCAGCAGGCUCCCAGGUCUGUACUCGGUAUCUGAAUGUCUCUGCAGCAUUUACUUCCAAAGUCUCCUGAAGAUCUGCCUAAUGAGCAUACUCAAGCUGGUAUUUCCAAAGCUAAUAUAAGCUACUGUGUGCCCUCCAUCACAUUCACAGCAAAAGAGAGGUCACUUGCACAAAGCCAGGCAUUUUUAGAGCACACUGUAUUGUUUGCGAGUGCUCUAAGAAGUGCAACGGAGAAAGAGAUCCUCUUAGAAAGCAUUCUGAUAUAUUUACUUUUUACUUUAAUCUGUAUUAAUAGCGAUUUGACAGUAUGUCUAGAAGCAGACACAUAUGAACGACUGACUGUACCUGUCCACGGAAAUUAGAUUUUUCCACAUUUGUCCAUUUCUCUGGAGUAAGCAAGAUAAUAUUGUGAAGGUUUUGGCAGACUUGCAGUGGAAGCUGAGAGCCUUCUUGCACCAUCGCUAGCUGCCUGCCCUGCAGCUCAUGAGGAUGUCGGUGUCUCUAAGACAGGGACAUCAAAUCUACUUAAUCAUCUUCUUGGGCUUAAUGUAGGUUACUUUAGCAAGCUGGAACACAGAGAAUGAUGCCUGGAGAACUGAUUUAAAAGAUCAUAUAAUCUGCUUUAAGAUAGAAAUAUGCAUCAUAAGUGUGGAGUGCUUGGCUGUAGAGUGGCCAACAGCCAACACACUUCAGCUGCUUGCCUUCAGAAGUCUGUCAGACACCUGUAUUACCACCUUCGCUGCCUUGGUCAUUCAGUAGAGAAACAACAAAGCAUUGUUACUUAAACAACUUCACAAUACCUUAGUUACUGGUAGAAUAUUAAUAAAAUACUGUGUAUAAGGACAAAUUGCAAGCACUAGAGCCUUUGUAUUUUCUGAUUAUUUGUUAAAAUAAAAUGAUUUUUA